rnacentral:siRNA from 1 species
UCAUAGCCUAGAUGUGUAUCAUA